AGGUCUCUAAAAAUAGAAUAGUUAUGGUGAUAACUAGGUCAUAGCCUCCUAUUAAGUUGAGUGAUAAUGAGUCCAACAGUUUAGAUGAUCAUUGAAGGUGCCACACGCCUAGUGCUCAUUUGGCUAUUAAAAUUAUCAUUCAUAAUAUGUUGAUUUAGUUGUAUCUUUUUGAUGAUGGUCAGGUUGGUCGAGCCACACUCAGGUC
rnacentral:lncRNA from 1 species